rnacentral:rRNA from 1 species
CAUGCAGUCGAACGGCAGCACGGACUUCGGUCUGGUGGCGAGUGGCGAACGGGUGAGUAACAUAUCGGAACGUAUCCAAUAAUGGGGGAUAACGAGUCGAAAGAUUCGCUAAUACCGCAUACGCCCUACGGGGGAAAGCUGGGGACCUUCGGGCCUGGCGUUAAUGGAGCGGCCGAUAUCUGAUUAGCUAGUUGGUGAGGUAAAGGCUCACCAAGGCGACGAUCAGUAGCUGGUCUGAGAGGACGACCAGCCACACUGGAACUGAGACACGGUCCAGACUCCUACGGGAGGCAGCAGUGGGGAAUUUUGGACAAUGGGCGCAAGCCUGAUCCAGCCAUUCCGCGUGAGUGAAGAAGGCCUUCGGGUUGUAAAGCUCUUUCGCAAGGGAAGAAAACUUAGCCACUAACAUUGGCUGAGGUUGACGGUACCUUGAUAAGAAGCACCGGCUAACUACGUGCCAGCAGCCGCGGUAAUACGUAGGGUGCGAGCGUUAAUCGGAAUUACUGGGCGUAAAGCGUGCGCAGGCGGCUUUGUAAGUCAGAUGUGAAAUCCCCGAGCUCAACUUGGGAACUGCGUUUGAAACUACAAGGCUAGAAUAUGUCAGAGGGGGGUAGAAUUCCACGUGUAGCAGUGAAAUGCGUAGAGAUGUGGAGGAAUACCAAUGGCGAAGGCAGCCCCCUGGGAUAAUAUUGACGCUCAUGCACGAAAGCGUGGGGAGCAAACAGGAUUAGAUACCCUGGUAGUCCACGCCCUAAACGAUGUCUACUAGUUGUUGGUGGAGUAAAAUCCAUGAGUAACGCAGCUAACGCGUGAAGUAGACCGCCUGGGGAGUACGGUCGCAAGAUUAAAACUCAAAUGAAUUGACGGGGGCCCGCACAGCGGUGGAUUAUGUGGAUUAAUUCGAUGCAACGCGAAAACCUUACCUGGCCUUG